rnacentral:miRNA from 1 species
UAGGGGCUGUAGUUUGAGAAGAGG